rnacentral:lncRNA from 1 species
UGGUGGACAGUGUGAAUGGCACAGAUACCACCCAUACCUCCAUGGAAAUGCAUAAAUAAAUGACCUACCACCAGAGAUCCAUGCUAUCAUUGUAACAUAAAAGACAAGUCUCAGCUCUCCUGGAUCAGCAUUCAAGGCCCUGACCCAGAAGAAAACAUAGAUGAUGCUUUCUCUGAGAUAGGGAGGGGAAUGAGUGACUAUAAUACCUGAGAAAAUUUCUAUUAAUAAAAUUAAAGAAAUAGCAUAUAUGAGAAAUUCAGAGAUACACAGGAAGACUUAAAUGAACUGUCAGAGAACAAGGGUCAUCAAAAUACAAAGGCAAGACAAAAGUCAGAAUAAAUGUGAUGGUCUGGGAUGCA